UCUUUCUAUUUUAAUAUUAGUUCAAUGCUGUGCUCCCUCUCUCUCUUUCCGUUUACUGCAUUUAAUGAUACACAGAAAAGCUUGUUGCUUUCUUCUUUCCUCUAAUGUUUCUGUUAGCCUUGUUGGGCUGAUGUCGUUCACAACACUGCUGCUUCUGCUAGCUGCUGCUGCUUAGUUAGGCAUUUUAGCUUUGCAGAUAAAGCGCAGAAAGUUGUACAGCUGUAAAAGGCCGCCUUCUUGUCUGGAUUAGCACUGCAUACAAAGGUGAUAUUUGGUAAAUCAAAAAUUGAGGCCGUGUCCCCCAUUUACUCUUACCUUAAAGAAUAUUGCAAUAAUUACAGCAAAGACUUUUGGACGACACUGAAUCAAGGAGCUUUAGUUUGGUGAUCGAGAAGGAAAUAGAAGCUCCACCAAAUCAGACCUUAUAAUUUAAAGACUUGACAGCUGCCAUUUCAAUGAGAUAUUAUAAAUAUUUAUCCGAGGUACAUUUUUUCUAAUGUGUAUAGGCCACAAUAGGACCAUACAUAUUCAAGCUCUGAUAUUAAGUCAAGAAAUUAAUUAGAUAAUACUUGCAGUAAUCAUAUAAAUUGCAUUAUCUUUCAACAUAUAGUAUUCAAUUUAACUGCAAUAUACUCUGAAGAAAUUAUCAACAGAUGGAUAUAAUUUAUCAUAAAAUAACUGAAUGUAGAUAAUAAUUAUUUUCAGUGCCUGGUUGAUUAGUUCAACAUCUUUUUAUAGGUACCUAACAAUAGCAUGCUUUCAAGUGCAUUUGUCGUCUAUUAAUUAACCUCUCUAAUGUUAGAAAGUAAUUUUUAGAUGUUUCUCCCUGAAACAGUGAUAGGUAUUUAUUUCUAAAUAUUGCAAUAAAAUAACAAGUAUAAAUGUCAUAUAUGUUUAAGUAAAGCACUGAAGGAUCAUGAAUUACAUUAGAAAAACAGUAGGCAUAAAAAACUUUAAAUUAAUACUAAAUUAAUGGUCCUGGAUUUGAAUUUUACUGAGUAUAGUUGGAUGGCUGGUUGCAUUCACUCCCAUCUAAUAAAUAUGCAACAAGUUUGGAAUGUCAUUAAUAUAUCAUAGCAACACACAAUGUAUUGGUUGAGUUUCUAUGAAUUCCAUGCAUUUAAUUUUGAUACGUUGCUAUACUUACAUUAUUAUUUAAUAUUGUCAUCACUUAAUGAAUCGUCAGUUAUAAUAUAAUUAAAAAUAUUGAGUAAUGUUGACAUAAAAUUUAUCUGAGUGUAGUAAAUUAAAGAACAUUUCGUCAUAAUUUGUUGGUUUAAAAGUAAAACUUUAAGACCAUAAAAUUUCUUCACAUGCAACUUCUGUAAUCUCAAAUUAGCAUGCAAUAGAAGCAUGAUUAUUUCCUUAGUGAUGGUAUUCCCUGUGCCUUCCAAAAGCUAAUAACUCUAAAAGAUGAUAACAGUUACAAGAAAUAAUUAUGCGGAUGAGAUUUUACUAUAAUUAGUCUCACUUUUUACUACAGUAUAAAAAAAAAAAUUAGAUAUUUUUUCCUCGAGUCUUGCCGACUAUGCCAUUUAGUCAAGGGAUUAAUGAACACACUCUCUCUCUCUCUCUUAUUUGUCAAUUUUUAGAAGAGUUUAUUUCU